GCAAGUCGAGCGCUUUCCUUCGGGUGGAGCGGCGGACGGGUUAGUAACGCGUGGGAACAUACCCUUCUCUAAGGAAUAGCCACUGGAAACGGUGAGUAAUACCUUAUACGCCCUUCGGGGGAAAGAUUUAUCGGAGAAGGAUUGGCCCGCGUUAGAUUAGAUAGUUGGUGGGGUAACGGCCUACCAAGUCACCGAUCUAUAGCUGGUUUGAGAGGAUGAUC
rnacentral:rRNA from 1 species